rnacentral:rRNA from 1 species
CCAAUAGCGUAUAUUAAAGUUGCUGCGGUUAAAAAGCUCGUAGUUGAAUUUCGGAAUUGAUGCAUCGGUCGUGCCUUAAGGGGCAUGAACUGGUGUAGCCAAUUUCUCACCUUCUGGUGAAUUGUUGAUGUUCUUAAUGGGUGUCUCAAUGAACUAGAAUUUUUUACUUUGAAAAAAUUAGAGUGUUUAAAGCAGGCAUUAAUUUGCUUGAAUACAUUAGCAUGGAAUAAUGAAAUAGGACAGUGGUUCCGUUUUGUUGGUUUCUAGGAUCACGUAAUGAUUAAUAGGGACAGUUGGGGGCAUUAGUAUUCAAUGGUCAGAGGUGAAAUUCUUGGAUUUAUUGAAGACUAACUAUUGCGAAAGCAUUUGCCAAGGAUGUUUUCAUUAAUCAAGAACGAAAGUUAGGGGAUCAAAGACGAUUAAGUACGUCGUAGUCCUAACCAUAAACUAUACCGACUAGGAAUCAGACGAUGUUAAUUUUUUAAUGACUCGUUUGGUACCUUACG